CCCGCCCCCUCCAUGUUAGCGGAUGGGACACGGGCCAAACUAAAAAGUCAAAGUACACGACAAAUACAUUUUUCCCAAAGAUGGUUUCUGUCAUUUUAGGUGGUUUUAUCACACCGGUAUAUGUUCAAGUGUUCGUUUUCCGAGAAGUUUGGAUUUAAUAGUUUUU